rnacentral:misc_RNA from 1 species
GAAGGAUCAUUAGUGAAUAUUAGGACGUUCAAUUUAACUUGAAGUCCGAACUCCCACUUUCUAACCCUGUGCAUUUGUUUUGGCUAGUAGGAUAUUUCGGUAUCCGAACACCUCUUCAUUUACAAACACUAAGUCUAUGAAUGUUUAAAUUUUAUAACAAUAUAAAACUUUCAACAACGGAUCUCUUGGCUCUCGCAUCGAUGAAGAACGCAGCGAAAUGUGAUAAGUAAUGUGAAUUGCAGAAUUCAGUGAAUCAUCGAAUCUUUGAACGCAUCUUGCACUCUUUGGUAUUCCGAAGAGUAUGUCUGUUUGAGUGUCAUGAAUUCUUCAACCCUCCCUUUUCUUAGUGAAUUGAGAGGAGUUUGGAUUCUGAGUGUUGCUCCUAAUACGAGCUCAUUCGUAAUACAUUAGCAUCCAUAUUCGAAUUUCGGAUUGACUUGGCGUAAUAGACUAUUCGCUGAGGAAUCUAACUUCGGUUAGAGCCGUGUUUGAACUAGGAAGCUACUAAUCUAGCUUAGUCUACCUUUAGAUUAGACCUCAAAUCAGGCAGGAUUACCCGCUGAACUUAA